GAUGAAGAACGUAGUGAAAUGCGAUAAGUAGUGUGAAUUGCAGAAUUCAGUGAAUCAUCGAAUCUUUGAACGCACAUUGCGCCCCUUGGUAUUCCGAGGGGCAUGCCUGUUCGAGCGUCAUUAUAACCCUCAAGCUCAGCUUGGUGUUGGGGCCUGCUGCACUGGCAGCCCUUAAAAUCAGUGGCGGCGCCAUCUGGCUCUAAGCGUAGUAAUUCUUCUCGCUAUGGAGUCCUGGUGGAUGCUUGCCAUCAACCCCCAAUUUUUCUAUGGUUGACCUCGGAUCAGGUAGGGAUACCCGCUGAACUUAAGCAUAUCAAUAAGCGGAGG
rnacentral:misc_RNA from 1 species